rnacentral:rRNA from 1 species
CGAAAGCCUGACGGAGCAACGCCGCGUGAGGGAUGAAGGCCUCUGGGCUGUAAACCUCUUUUAUCAAGGAAGAAGAUCUGACGGUACUUGAUGAAUAAGCCACGGCUAAUUCCGUGCCAGCAGCCGCGGUAAUACGGGAGUGGCAAGCGUUAUCCGGAAUUAUUGGGCGUAAAGCGUCCGCAGGCGGCCCAGAAAGUCUGCUGUUAAAACGUGGAGCUUAACUCCAUCAUGGCAGUGGAAACUGUUGGGCUUGAGUGUGGUAGGGGCAGAGGGAAUUCCCGGUGUAGCGGUGAAAUGCGUAGAUAUCGGGAAGAACGCCAGUGGCGAAGGCGCUCUGCUGGGCCAUAACUGACGCUCAUGGACGAAAGCCAGGGGAGCG